AGAAGGAGGUCAGGGCCAAUUGUGGAGAGCCCAGCUACAGAGCUCAGACUUCACCUUGUGGGCUCAGGGCAAGGAUGGGAGUCUAAGCAGGGGGAUCACAUGGCUGGUAGUCAUGGUGGUGUGGAGGAUGGAUUGGAGGAGGGCAGGAGCAGAAGGAAGGCCACCAAGAGCCUACUGCAAUACAGAAUGCUUAGGGGAAUCAACAGAAUCUGGACCUGGGGCUUGCUGUCAGAAGAACCGGACUCAAAUCCCCAUUCUGCUGCUUACAUUUGUGAGCUACUGGUGUUUGAGUCUGAGGACACACCACUGGCCCAGACCCUGGACGGCUGCUCCGACUCUGGAAGGAAAUGCACCUGCACUACCUCAUCUCCCCCAGCAAUCAGGUCCAUCUCCAACAAUUAAUUAUGUGCUGAUGGGAGACACUGAGCAACGAUGAGCUCAUGUGUAGAUCUCAUCUGUCAGGGGCUGCCAUUCUGAGGUUCUUCUUGCUCACCUCCUCCAAAAAACCUUUUAUUGGAGCAAUUAAUACAAACAAGAUGAACACAUUUACCCUUUAUGAUGGCUUCAUUUCUCCCACCCACCCCCUUAUCAUUAUGAAUUAUCAGUAAAAACUGCAACAAAUGAGACAAGAGAUGAGGUCAAUGUCAGGCCUCUGAGCCCAAGCUAAGCCAUCAUAUCCCCAGUGACCUGCACAUAUACAUCCAGAUGGCCUGAAGCAACUGAAGAUCCACAAAAGAAGUGAAAAUAACCUUAACUGAUGACAUUCCACCAUUGUGAUUUGCUUCUGCCCACCCUAACUGAUCAAUGUACUUUGUAAUCUCCCCCACCUUUAAGAAGGUUCUUUGUAAUUCUCCCCACCCUUGAGAAUGUACUUUGUGAGAUCCACCCCCUGCCCCUAAAACAUUGCUCUUAACUCCACUGCCUAUCCCAAAACCUCUAAGAACUAAUGAUAAUCCCACCACCCUUUGCUGACUCUCUUUUGGGACUCAGUCUGCCUGCACCCAGGUGAAAUAAACAGCCAUGUUGCUCACACAAA